rnacentral:lncRNA from 1 species
GAGGGACUAGGCCUUUGGCCUUGUGAGGGCUGGUUUGUGGGCUAAAUUUACAGCUGUGAUGGUCUCGAUUUCUGGGCUAAGCUGUUAGGUAGUUGCUAAUUUUCCUAAGAUUUUGACUCUGUCUUAGUCUGAUGGCUAGUUAUUAUGCAGACAUUCUAUGUUUUGAAGUAGUGUUCAGCUAAUUUUAGGCUAGAGUGUUGUUGAUUUCCUU